ensembl:lncRNA
ACUUUUUUUCUACUAUGGGCUUGUUAGAAAUGUAGUUUUGCAACUUUAUGCUGAACGUUUAAAGAAUAAAUGAGCAAAAAAAAAAAAAAAAUGCAAUUUUUCAUUCUUUUCCCAAAUUUUUUAUUUUUUUUUUUUUUUUUUGUCUUUUACUUUAAUUCUGAUCUGUUGCGCUUUGUUAUCAUGUGCUAGAAAGCAACUUUUAUGUUUGCUUUUUUUCUUUUCAGAAAUUGCUGACAGGCGUUUAAUGAUUUUCCUAUCUUUCACAGUAUUUUUGUACUCCAAACAAGGGUUUAGAACUAAUAAUUACAAUGAUUCAGAGUAAAAACAAUAGCUUUAGGGCCUGAUUUACUCCAGUAUUCGGCGUAUUCAAAUUUGCUUCACUUCAGAGACACAAGAGGCUUUGAUAGUGGCACUUUACAUGAUCCAGACCUUAUUGUCCUAGUCUUUUGUCUGUUGUCUUAUGUUUCUACAUCUACUUGUAUCCUAAGUGAAAGAAAAAAAAGAAAGAAAGAAAAAAAAAAAAAAACACCAGUAACAUCUGACAAUGAAUGUCUUGUCUGGUUAAAUAUUUCAGACCUUUGAAAGGUCCAGGUAGUGAGUAGUAAUUCCCACUGGCAUCUUGUGUCAGCAAAUAACCUGAAUGCUGAGUAACAGAGCUGAGUCAUUCUCCCUCAUCCACCCUCAACUGUCUCCUCAGUCCUUCUGGAGGAAUACGACACUAAUUUUCUGUGCGCAUUUGACUUCAAAAUAUCUGACCUGCCAACCGUCUUUUUCGAAAAUGAUUCCUCUUCGAUGCUGCAGUCACUCAAACCACUGGCAUCCCAGACUUUUUAAACAUAUACUUAUUCUCCCACAGCAGUUGGACAUAUGACACAUCCAUUUGACAGCAACUAAAAUUAUUUUUAGAUACAGCAUAUAUGAUUUGUUUAGAAUCACUGCAGUCAGAAACUUUCUUUUGUGUGUAUUUUAUAUAGAUUUGUGCAGGUCUUUAGAACAAAUUGUAAUUUAUUUGUUUCCGAAAAAGAAACAAGCCAGUAUUUAAAAUGAAUGCUUUGAGUAAGUGGUUUGAUUUCAUUAAAAAAAGCAGACACAUAAUGGCAAAAAUCAUCUUCUCAGUGAGGACAUAUAUUGGAAAGUACUGCUCUAUCUUUAUUCUUGUAAUUACCAAUAACCAACCAAAAUAACCCUUUUUUUUUUCAAACAUGACAUUUUGUGCAAUAAACUUUUCCUUUUUUUUUUUUUUUUUUUUUUU